ensembl:lncRNA
CCCGCAGACACGGAGCGGUUCGGCUGACGGCCCUCGGGACGGGCCCGGCCUGCCUUCCGGGGCUGCUGCGCCCCACAUCCUCCAGUGAGGCUGCCUGCGUGCCCGUACGUGCUGGUUGGGUUACUCUGAGGGUCUGCAGGUAACGACGUUUGUGCAAUGAGGGCGGCGAGGCAGUGCCACAGGUUGCCCGGAGAGGCGGUGUGCCCCAUCCCUGCACACACCCAGGGUCAGGACGGAGGGGCUCUGAGCACUGAUGGGGCUGUAGGUGUCCCUGUUGGUGCAUCGGGCUGGACCCGAUGACCUUCAAAGCUCCCUUCCAACUCCGGCUUCUUAUGAUCCUAUGCCGGCCAUGUGCUUCCCUCUGCUGUCUGCUGUGGAACGUAAGGCGUUAUCGGGUCUACAGUAAGACCUGGGAUAAACCUUCAACUUCCAGUAAGCAGCACCUCUCUGACAGUUAUUUAAAGCCUGUCCGCAUUGUUCCAGAGCUAUUUCCUUUUUCCUCUAAGGCAACCUACAGUAGGAAACCGGCGGUCCCUCAGGUAGCCCGCUUCCACUUCACUUGAAGUCUUGCCUGCUCGUUGCAUUUGGGGCCAGCAGAGCGAUCUGCAGAGGCUGAAAAUUGUCUGCGGCUUCCUGCCUUUUGUGGAGUGGGCCAAAGAUAACAGUUUUGGUUUGGUUUCGGACGGCCCAGGAGUGGGCCUGUUGUGAUUCAUGCGUUCCACUUGCAGAUUGGCAUUGCUGAGACUAUAAAAUGGACGUGCUUGCUUUGGACGGCCUUCCGUAGCCUUUGAAGGGCACAGAAGUGUUCUCCCUGGUUUUGGUGGGAGAAGCAGUCUGUUUGGUGUGCUAGGCUGGUGUGCCAGUUAGUAUCUCCUACUGAUAGGAUGGGAAAGGACAGGGGAUUGGGGUCUCAUUUGUGAAGACUGAAUGUUUGUAGAUGGGGCGUUUUGCACAUUACAUACAAUUUGCAGACCAGUGAUUUGGUAGUUUGUUUUAACCGAUCCAUCUGCCAUCUUAACUCUAGAAAUGAAUGGAAAAGACAGCGUGCUGUGAAUGGAAGUCGUGCUCUGUGAAACCAGCAGUUACUCGUGUGGUAACAGAUAUGGUCUGCGGGGAAAAAAGAGAAUGAACUGAAAGCGAGACGUGGAAAUCAAGCUAUGGGAAAGGGUUUCUUUUGUGACGUUGUGGAUGACCGCAAGGAUUGGCAUUUGUAGCAACCAGAGCCCAUCUCAGUCAUGCAGGGAGUCGCUUUGUAAACGCAGUUUUCCUGCCAACGAGGUUUGUUUGCUUGGUGAUAAGAAACAAUGGUCAACUCGAUGUGCUACUUAAGCAUUUCAGUGCUUGAGAAGAGGAAUCUAGGUUUGUGCUGAACCUGUUUUCUUAGUUAGUCAAAUGCCGGCUUGGCAGCCAAUCUAGAAGGCUGGUAGCACCGAGGCAGAGUGAUUAUGAGGAUUGUUUUCAGCAGCCUCUGCUAAGUCUGCUUUUAUGAAACUUCUUUCCGUUGAGGAAAACAGGUCUUAUCUUCAGGAUUGGAAGCACCGCAUGAGGGAGAGGCACGGGCCAUACUUUUCAAGGUGCCUGAAAAGCAGUGAUAGUUUUGGCUUUGAGUAAGACUGGUGUUCAUCCACGAGAGUGAUAUUAGCUGCAGUUAAGGAGGGGAAAGCAUGGCACAGAGGAGCAACAAAAGGUGUGAGUUUUCCAGUUGUACAUGGAGCACUCGUUUUUGUUCUGCUAAGGAGAGUGUAGUUACAUUGGUUUGGGUUUGUUUUUUCCACUUCCUGCAUCUGGGGGUUGUUGUACCCUAAUACAGGCUCUUUUUCUUAUGGCACAGUGGGAUGGCACGAUCGGUGUGUGGCCCUGGGGGCACCCAGGCCUGAAGCCGUGCCCUCACUGUGUGCUGAGAGCUGGCCUUGGGGUGAAGCCAGGUGGUGCCUGACACUGGGUGAGCUCCCAGAGGAGGACAGCACACUCCAGGUCCCAUCCUUAUUUUACUGGUGUUGCAAACAAGUUAUUCUUGUACUCUGCAGAAAGCCUCACGACCACAAAACCAGCAAUAAUUGUAUAAAUGAUAAGCUUGUUUUCCUCCUCCUCCUCCCAGAUAUUCUGAGUGCGACAGACAGCAGAGAUGUGCAUUGCUGGAAUCCAGAGAGUUUCAUAACGUGGCAGCCGCUUGCUGCAUAUGCCACUGCAUACAUAAAGCGGUAUUUAUUUUAAGUAUUGAGGAACAUUCUCUCUAAGUAGAAGAAAAAAGCGUUUAGGUGAAGCCGGUCCCAUUUGUUUACAAGUCUUGGUUUUUGUCUUUAUACAUUUUAAAUGCUUUUUAUUUGUAUUCUGAUUUUUUUUUUUGAGCCUUUCAAGUUCAUGUUUUCCAUUUCUCGUUGUUCACACAACAAGAAAGCCUGGAUUGAGUCCUUACUUUAUAAAGGAAGAUCUCAUUGAGUGUCCCCUCUAACCACACAACCUCAGCCAAAGGGUGUUUAAAAAUACAGCCCCUUUUGAGAGAAUUGCUUGUCUUGAGAGCAGUUUUCAGCUCCGAGCUUAAGUAAUUUAAGUAAAUACUUUGUUGGCGGUUUAAGAAGCUUUUAACAACACCUAUCUCUGUUUGCUUUUCAGGGAGGUCUCUCUUCUACUUUUCUGAACAUCUAGAGCUUGUUUCACCUCUGUAUGUGCUGAUGAAGUCAGAAACGUAGUGUACCAGCAUGACUAACGUGUGUUGAAUAAUGCAUACAAAUGCCUUCAGAAAUACAUGCACAGAUUUCAUGCAGUCCCCUUAAGCUGCUGAGCAGCAGGGAGGGUGCAGAGCCCCUCCUCAGGGCGGCAGGAGGAGGUGUGUUGGCAUCCUGGGAGGAGCAGAAAACCUCUGUGGUUCCCUGAGGAAAUCACAGAUGCGUUCGAGGCCUUAAGCUUGGUAGCCUGAUGUUUAACCCUGUCCUUGUUUUUGGAAUGCUGUUAACAGAUAAGUGAGCAUUUUAAAUCUGUUGUUGUUUGUUGCGGUGCUGCUCUCAAGCAGUGCACAUCAAGACCAGGAGGAGACAUCCUUCCUCGGCUCAAAGAUUCUGCCUCUCCCUGCUAUGGAUACAAGCACAAGCACCUGGCUAUGCGUUCCCCAGGCUGCACAGACAGCUUUCUGGCCAGCUGCUCUCUCUGCUCUAUCCCUACCAAUAACAUCCAGGGAAAGCAGGGGCCGACUGCUGUCCUGUGGCUGUGCGAGAGCCCCAUUCUGUGCUCCCAGGCCAGGUGCUCCAGAAUGGCUUUUCUAGGAGGUUACGACUUGUGUGGUUUCAAUCGCAUAAGUCUUUGGCCUUGUGCCCUGAAGUGCCAGCAGAGGCAUGCUGUAAUUGCCCGUAAACGCACCGUCUGUCAUUAUCAUUGUUUAAUUAUUCCAGCUUCUCACCGCCACGCACUGCUCAGUGUCUCUCCUGCUAUCUUUAUUUAAUUGAGUGGAAAAAAUCUGAGACUUGUGCUUCACUUACGUCACUUUGUAUUUAUCCAGCAUCACUGGAUCCCGCUUUGAAGUCCCAGCUUUUGUAUGCAGAAGUCGGUCUUCUAUACAGACAAAAUAAUGUCCGUGUCAAAAGCGUAUGUUAGAAAUAGAAUCAAUAUUUUAACACAUGGUAAACUCCGGCCACAAAGCUCUUAGCACAGUCAAAUGAUUGUAUGAUCAUCCUUUGAAACUUGGCUCUGCCCCUGGGAAACAAGAAAGGGAAAGAAAACUCUUGAAUAACCAAGCCCUUGUCCUCACAGCGCAGGACUGUUCUCAGCCUGUCGCUUUGUCUGUGCCACUCCUUCCUUUUCCGUCUCCCAGCUCUGUUUUCUUCUGCAUCAAACGCAUUCAGCUCCAGGAGCCUUCUUUCUCCAGCCCAUCCCUAUGGAUCUGUUUUAGUGCAUUACCAGACGUCAGUUCCGUCCCGAGAUCGCCCUGCACCGUCCCCGUGGCAGUUCCACCACGUUUCAGACACCUCUACGCUUCUGUACCAAGCUUGCAACUAACCAAAUUUUAAUGUGAUGAAAAAGGUAAUCUUUCUGAGAUCUCUCCAACGCUCCCCUUGUCCGUAUGGCCUGAAAAGACUUGGCAGCGUGUUGGCUGCUUUUCUUUUCUCCCCUUUCCCCGUGUCAGUGACAAAUGCACAUUGUUUUUCUGGUCUUUCAGUCUCCGAGCCAGACCAACGCUUUGUGCAGCACCUAGCUCACCGGGUUGCUAUCAAGGCAGCUGUGUGCUCCUACACCAACACAAAAUAUUGGGGUUGCUGGCACUCACUCUGGCCUAGUUUGCCUCUCUCCUCGCAGAAGGAGUUUCAUGACGUCCUCCUGGAAGAUCAUUGUACACCUGAACAGGUCUACCUUUCAGGAUUCUAUUUUACUUUUUCAUAAAUCCUCAGCUGAGGUUUUCAUUUGCAGGUGUGCUCCUUGUAAUGCUCGGCUCCCUGACUGAGCCAGCAUCAUUUUUGGGGUUGUACUUUCCGGCUUCUCAUAGCUGUAAGAUUAUUAAUUUCAUACUAUUUUCUGAUUUGUUUCAUUUUUCAUCCAUCUCUUUCCUGCAGGAGAGAGCAAUUUAUAUCAUGAUUUCGCUGUGGAAUUGACUUCAGGCUUUACUGCUAUUUGUCACCAUUCAGGAAAUCCAUCCCUGGCUCGAGAAGAACACUCAGUCCCUGCUGACAGUUUGAAAGAGGGAGAGAAAAUAGAUAGCAGAGCUGCAGCUAUUAGGACCAACAGGCACAUAUUUUAUUCCAACUCAAUUUUCCAUUUCCAAAUGCCUUUUGAAGAAAACCUUUCUGUUUGAAAGAACAUGAAGGAAGGUUGUGGGUACCGGUGGGUUUUUUGGGCGGGUUGGGGGGUUGUUUUGGUAGUGAUGGUUUGUUGUCAAUGUUGUUUCGUAGGGACUCUCCUGUUCUUGAUGAUGUCCAUCUUCUUCCACGUUUCAGGCAGCAGGCUCACAACAACGACAAGAUGUUAUCCCACGGAAAGCUGCUGCUGCUGCCUCUGGCCUUGGUUAACCUGUUGGCAAUGGUGCUUGCCUGGGCAUGGGGCAACUGGCUUUUCACACAGCUCAGCAUGGACGUGCUGCCACUCCCAGUCACUUUUAGGACACAGUAGAAUUGUUUUUCUUGAGAUUACUGUACCCAUUAAUCUUAAGAAAAACAUGUAAUAAAACUGUUCAGCCUUCCUGGGGCCACCACUCCCAGAGACCUUUCCCCUUUUUGGCUUCUGCAAUAGCUUCUUUCCUUUGGCUCUGUACCUUUAUCAGCUAGAAAUGAUAAACUACAAAGCUGGUUGGCUUCAGGCUCUCUUUUUUGCAGGACAGGCUAUGCUUGUGCCUAUUGAGGACUGGAAGAUCACAGAGGAUGAGGGGGAAAGGGAAGGCUGCUCGCUCUUGUACACAGUGCAGGGGCAGGAUACAGCCUUUUAUGAAGUUCAGCAAAGAAAAACUUGGGCUUUCCUGCACACCGUGCCAUACCAGUCAGCCUGGUACUUAUGUUCCUGGACCUUUGAAGGCAUGCAGAUCUGCAGUGCUGCUACAGCAUCAGAGUCCAACUGCAAUGUGUGGCAUGUGAGAAGCUGGUGAACCCGCGGCCACGUUCGGCUUGAAUGCACUUUCCUUGGGAGGAAGUGGCUUUUCCCUCGGAGAGCUCAACUCCCCAGGGUCCCUGUGAGGCUGUGCCAGCUCUUCCAGCCUCCCCACUUUCUGUGUACCUGUGACCAUGGCAAUACAGCCAGGAUUACAUCUAAGGUGAAGACAGAAAAACCAUGAUGAAGGUUUAUGCUAUUUUCAUGACGAAUACGAUGCUCACAAAAAUGAAAAGGUGUUUGUCUUCAAAGCCUUCAAAGCUUUCUUCUUUCCCACAGAACGAGUGAACACGUUGCAACCCUUGCCUGAAAGACUGAGGCCAAGUUUCUCAAAAACUGACAAUUCAGGAAAAGGGAUAGGAUAGGAUGGGAAAGUCUGGGCAGAGUGAGGUGUAGAUGAGAGGAAGGUAAAACCUUAAAAUGGGAAUUUGGAGGUUUGAGAUGAGGUGGAGGGAGGCUGAGAUUCACGAAGAAAGUGUAAUCAGUAAUGAGAGGAGGUUUAUGCUGAGACCAUCUGUGCAAGGAACCAGUAGCAGGGGAGGGACAGAAGUCAGCAGAAUUGUUUGUCAGUGCAGAGAAAGUCACAGGGGAUAGGAAGUUAGAAGAAGAACUGGGCAAAGGAGACUGAAUGAAGAGCUGGCGUAGGGAACCAGAGCUGGAAGCGCUGUUGGAUGCUAAGAAACUAGAGGCGGGUGGUAGACAUCUGAAGGUGUUAGCUGGGCAUAGGCAGAGGGGAAGGUGGUGGAGUACUGGGGAAGGCUGCGGGAUGAGGGGCAUGUGCUGGCUGGGCCAUCUCUGCUCUCCAGGCUGGCAGCCAAGCAGGGCUUACCCAAGGCUGGCCUUCACUGUGGCUCAGCCGGCAAAGAAUUUGCCUCUUGUUGGUCUGCCCCAGACACAGAGAGAAUUUAGUGCCCUGGGAUGAGGCGGCAGCAGCUGCCUGCCUGGGGGAGGAGAGGGCUUGCUUGUAGUUAGAUGGAAAAAUAAAAUUACAGUUGGGAGGAGGUAGUGAAAAGGCCACGUGAACAAGAGAGAAAAGGUCAAUUCAUUAGUCCGGCAGCCACUAAAUUAAGAAAAGGCAAGUGAGGCUAUAAUAUCAGAGGUAUCUGAAUUCAGUCAAAGAUGGUUCUGAAGUUGCUGGAUUGAUCUUGUGGUCAGCUUAAGCAAGCUUAACAAAUUAAUUACAGUAUUUUAGUUCAUUGUGUAAGAGCUAGCUAAUAAAUCACAGUGCUUUGUAGAAACAUGCUUGAAACAACUGUGUAAAUACUAAAUAGCCUUAGGAGUGGUCUUACGAAUCCACGGAAUAAUCCAAAUUCCAGCACUCUUCCCCCUCUGCUGCUGCUCUAGAUAUAGGAUAACAGUCACUGCUGUUAUCUGCUCCUUUUUGAGGCAGGGGGGCAGAGGUCUGUGUCAGACAUGGG